CCAGGUCAUUGAUGAAGAWGUUGAACAAGACUGGACCCAGUMCUGACCCCUGGGGGACACCGCUAGCUACAGGCCUCCAACUAGACUCUGUGCCACUGAUCACAACUCUCUGAGCUCUGCCAUUCAGCCAGUUCUCAGUCCACCUCACUGUCCACUCAUCUAGCCCACACUUCCUGAGUUUGUCUAUGAGGAUGUUAUGGGAGACAGUGUCGAAAGCCUUGCUGAAGUCAAGGUAGACAACAUCCACUGCUCUCCCCUCAUCUACCCAGCCAGUCAUUCCAUCAGAGAAGGCUAUCAGAUUGGUUAGGCAUGAUUUCCCCUUGGUGAAGCCAUGCUGACUACUCCUGAUCACCUUCUUUUCCUCCACAUACGUGCUACAGCUCCAACCUGAAAAGCAAACGGUGCUGUUCCCAUCAUCUGCUUUAGACAUGUAACUUUAAGCACUUUAAAGUAGGAAGCAGGUCUCUCCCUAUGCUGGGAUUCACCCAGAAGGUGGAGUGUCACAUCUGGUACUGCCUGAGUCGUCUUCUGCAGAGGCCUCUUCCGUCCUCGCCAUUUUAUCUAGGCUGGGACUUACCCGCUGAAAGAGAGGGAGAAGAGCUGAAAACUUCAUCUUAGUUUGGAGAGGCAGGACGUUCAGGAGAGAUUCAGGCAAGCAUCCCAGCUUUCCUGACAUCCAAAUCAGACCUUUGGCAUUUUUGAAUUUCUUCCAUCAUUAGUUUGUGGUCUCAUAAAAACCUACUGAAAUUCAUGGGAGUCUCAAGCGUUCCCUGAAGCCUGGACCUUUCUUGCUAAUGUAUUGUUUGUUUUUUAAUCUCAGAUGUCAGUUUAAGCAGUAAAAAAUACCUCAAAUGAAAAACCCAAACAAACAAACAAACAAUGAUUUCGCUUUCCUUUUAGGCAAUUGUUUGGAAAACGGUGUGAAUGUUGGUGAAAAAUGAGGGGUGGAGGGGUGCACCACUGAAGAGCCAGUUCCCGAUGAGGAGUCAUAUGCUCUCCCAUUAAGAGACUGCAAGCUAUGCAGUUGAGGAAGGCUUAAAAUUACUGGUAUGCUGUAGUCAUUGCAUUGUAUAGUAGCUGUGCUAUAUGUUACAUGAUAAAUGUAUUUCCAUAGGCUCAUCACUUUGAAAAUAGGAACAGAGCUGGUUAUGUUUUUUUUUCAGAAUGUGAAAAUUUGGUCUUUUUUAUUGUCCAUUUCAAAUUUGUAUUUUGAAAACUGUGUUUGAGAAGACAGUGAAUGAUGUGAAUGCUUUUUUC
rnacentral:lncRNA from 1 species